GAUGAACGCUAGCGGCAGGCCUAAUACAUGCAAGUCGGACGGGAUCGGGGAGCUUGCUCCCCGUGAGAGUGGCGCACGGGUGCGUAACACGUAUGUAACCUACCUUUAUCAGGGGAUAGCCUCUCGAAAGAGAGAUUAACACCGCAUAACAUCACAUGAUAGCAUUAUCGAGUGAUCAAAUAUUCAUAGGAUAAAGAUGGGCAUGCGGGACAUUAGCUAGUGGGCGGGGUAACGGCCCACCAAGGCGAGGAUGUCUAGGGUAUCUGAGAGGAUGACCCCCCACACGGGUACUGAGACACGGACCAGACUCCUACUGGAGGCAGCAGUAAGGAAUAUUGGUCAAUGGACGCAAGUCUGAACCAGCCAUGCCGCGUGCAGGAGGACGGCCCUACGGGUUGUAAACAGCUUUUGUACCGGAAUAAACCCUUUUACGUGUAAGAGGCUGAAUGUACGGUAAGAAUAAGGAUCGGCUAACUCCGUGCCAGCAGCCGCGGUAAGAC
rnacentral:rRNA from 1 species